CACCUCUCUCAGCUUCCUCUCUCCACCCUUCCUGACUCCAUGCACAAUCCCUUCGUUUUUCUUUUCCUUUUUUUUUUUUUCACAGAAAUGAAAUUCAGCGUAAAGUUUCUAUUGAAGCAGAAUUGGAAAAAAAGACAUCUGCUCCCUUAUACUCUGACUGGAAUUCACCUUGUCUCUCGAGACAUGCUAAGUUUUUACCUUAAGAGCUGAUUUGAGGAAUCAAGGAGUCUGUGCAUGCGGCUGAAGGAAAGAAAGAGCUGGGAAUCAGGUUCGGUUUAGAAGACACUCGAUCCAGGUCCUGCACGUUGAUUGUGGAUCAUCAGGCUUGAUUACAAGUGCUUUUACCCACUGAUAUAUCUUGCUAGAGGAACUUCUUCAUUUCAUGGGCUGAAGCAGAGAGCAAGACAGAAAGAAGCCCUACAGGCUACCCU